UUGUCUCAAAGAUUAAGCCAUGCAUGUCUCAGUACGAGCCACAUUAAGGUGAAACCGCGAAAGGCUCAUUAAAUCAGUUAUGGUUCCUUAGAUCGUACCCACAUUUACUUGGAUAACUGUGGUAAUUCUAGAGCUAAUACAUGCAGAUAGAGCUCCGACCGGAGACGGAAGGAGUGCUUUUAUUAGAACAAAACCAAUCGGCGGCGGGCGCGUUCGCGCGUUCGUUCGCCGCUCUACCUGGUGAAUCUGAAUAACUUUCAGCUGAUCGCACGGUCUCGCACCGGCGACGCAUCUUUCAAAUGUCUGCCUUAUCAACUGUCGAUGGUAGGUUCUGCGCCUACCAUGGUCGUAACGGGUAACGGGGAAUCAGGGUUCGAUUCCGGAGAGGGAGCCUGAGAAACGGCUACCACAUCCAAGGAAGGCAGCAGGCGCGCAAAUUACCCACUCCCGGCACGGGGAGGUAGUGACGAAAAAUAACGAUACGGGACUCAUCCGAGGCCCCGUAAUCGGAAUGAGUACACUUUAAAUCCUUUAACGAGGACCCAUUGGAGGGCAAGUCUGGUGCCAGCAGCCGCGGUAAUUCCAGCUCCAAUAGCGUA
rnacentral:rRNA from 3 species